CCUGGUCCUCGGUAGUGACCUUCGGGUAGUUGUAGCCCCGCGGGUCUCGAUCGAAGACCGGU
rfam:Pseudopropionibacterium propionicum F0230a chromosome, complete genome.